GACAGAGGGUGCAAACGUUGUUCGGAAUUACUGGGCGUAAAGCGCGUGUAGGCGGCUCGAUAAGUCUGCUGUGAAAGUCCAGGGCUCAACCCUGGAAGGCCGGUGGAAACUGUCGGGCUAGAGUCCGGAAGAGGCGAGUGGAAUUCCCGGUGUAGCGGUGAAAUGCGCAGAUAUCGGGAGGAACACCAAUGGCGAAGGCAGCUCGCUGGGACGGUACUGACGCUGAGACGCGAAAGCGUGGGGAGCAAACAGG
rnacentral:rRNA from 1 species